rnacentral:lncRNA from 1 species
UCCAUUAGCAAAUUACAAACAAUUAAUUAAACUAAAAAAACAACUAAUUAAAGAAAAAAAUUUAAUCAAAUUGACAAAUUCUUAAAUAACUAAAUAAUCAAGAAGAAUAGAAAAAUAAAAAGAUUUAAAAAUAUAAAAUAAAUAGAAGAGGUGAAAAUGAUUGGGCAGGUGUAUUAGUGUUCAAAUCAAACAAAUGGGGGAAAGCCCAAUGCCCACAACUAAUAUUAAACCUUAAUAAUAAUAAACAAAUAAAAAAACAAAAUAAGCAUGUCAAAGAGAGAGUGGCGCUGGAAAUUUGGAAAGAGGGAGGCAAUAUUUUUUAAAUUUUAAAAUGUCUCAAAUCACCACUUGACACAUGGCACAAAUAAAGGACACAAAUAAAAUCUCUCUUCUUCCUCCAUGUUUACCGUGAAAACACACACAAAAGGAAAAAAACUUCCUCCUUCAUAGACUAUAUCCUCUCUCUCACACCGGUUUGGUUCUACGUGGGAACGGUCGGUCGGCCGGCCAGUGGCAGCGGCGCUCCCACCACUAGAUCUCUUAUCUUUUCUCACUACUCAUUCUCUCAGCCUCUCUCAUGGUAUCAACAAAACAAUAAACUUCAAACAAAAUCAACACAUAUGAUAAAAUAAGUUAGUAAUAAACAAAAGAUAUCAAUAAGUCUACCAGAGCCUCAACAUCGUCGACUUGCGGUUGUGAACUUUGAGUUGUUCUUGUUGUGAGAUACGGUGAUGUAUGUUGAACAAUGAUGGAGGGGUGUUGUUGUUACGUGAACAUGAGAGUGAAAAUGGUGUUGUGGCAUGAAUAAGCAGCAAGUGGAUUGUUGUGGAAGAAAAAGAGAUACGUAAAAAUGGCUUGAGAAAUAUGCAGUGGUGUGUGUUAAGGUUAAGCAAGUUUGAGCUCUGUGAUGCUUGUAACAACUGCCUUUGCCUUCCUUUUUAUUCAAUUGAUCUUUUUUAUAGAGAGGUAGACGUUGAGGAAUAAGAGAUUAUGUUGGUGAGUUCAUGGAAGGUUUUUCCAAAAAUGAGUGAGAGUGUUCUUCAUGGUGGUGUUAUGGAGUUUAUUUGGUUUAGUGUGGUUGUUUAGUUGUUAUGAAGGAAAUGAAGUGUAUGAAGGAAGUUUUUUUCAUGAUAGAACCUUUGUGAUGAAAACGAAGGUAAAGGUGAUGAUGUUUAUAUUGGUUAAUGGUGUUUUAAUGUGAAUGAGGGUUAUCGUGUGGUGUCAAAGGUGGAGGAGAGAAUUGGAAAUGGUGGCUACUUUGAUGUGUGUAAUAAUGAGGGAGAAUAAAAAAUGUGAAGGGAAGAGUGAGGGAGUCUUGUUGUGUGAAAAAAAGAGAGGAAGUUUUUUGUUUCUCCUCUUUGCAACCUGAGGUUUAUGUGAGAGAUUUUUUGAGGAUGUGAAGAGGGAUCCGGCAAGUGUAGGUGGGUGAUAAUGGAGUUAACAGUGUAAUGAAGGUGAAUGGGAAACCAAAAACGAAAGAGGAUUCAAUCAAGACUCAAGACAUGUUUUCUUAGUUUUGUAUUACUGAAAGAAAACUCUCUCCCUUUUGAUAUGUUUUCUUUGAAAUCAAGAAAAUCCCUCCCUCAGCGCCGCAUGGAGCUCAUGUUGUAGUCCUCUAAUCAAUG